rnacentral:rRNA from 1 species
CCGUCUGGGCAGUGGCGGACGGGUGAGUAACGCGUAGGUAUCUAUCUUUGGGUGGGGGACAACCGUGGGAAACUACGGCUAAUACCGCAUGACGACCGAGGUCCAAAGGCGCAAGUCGCCUGGGGAGGAGCCUGCGUCCGAUUAGCUUGUUGGUGGGGUAACGGCCUACCAAGGCGACGAUCGGUAGCUGGUCUGAGAGGAUGAUCAGCCACACUGGGACUGAGACACGGCCCAG